UCAAAAUAAACUCCUCCAAUUCUCUUUCACAUCCCACAACUCUGUCUCUCUCUCCAACUCAAGCAGAGCAAAGCAAAAAAACAUGUCCAUUCAAGCUCUUUCUCUCUCCUCUCUCAUGACUUUCUUCCUCACCACCUCAAUUCUCACACAACCAUCAACCUCGGCCAUAGAAUCCUUCAUAUACGGUGGUUGUUCUCAGCUCAAAUACACCGAAGGCACACCCUACGAGUCCAACGUCAACUCACUACUCACUUCCCUGGUUAACUCAGCCUCCUUCGCCACCUCCAACAAAUUCAAGAUCUCCGUCCCAGGCUCCGCCCCAACCGAUGUCGUUUACGGCCUCUUCCAAUGCCGCGGCGACCUCCGAAACUCCGACUGCCGCGACUGCGUCGCCCGCUCAGUGAGUCAACUCGGCAACCUCUGUUUUGACUCAACGGGUGGCGCGUUGCAGCUAGAAGGGUGUUUCGUGAAGUACGAUAAUAUUUCCUUUUUGGGUGUCGAGGACAAGGCUGUGGUGUUGAAGAAAUGUGGGCCGUCGAUUGGGUAUGAUUCUGAGGCGUUGACUCGUCGUGAUGCUGUGAUGGAUUAUCUAGCGGCUGCGGGGCAGUUUUUUAGGGUAGGUGGGUCCGGGAAUGUACAGGGUGUGGCGCAGUGUGUACAAGAUUUGGAUCUGAGCGAGUGUCAGGAUUGUCUAUCGGAGGCGAUCGGACGGUUGAAAAGCGAGUGCGGGUCCACGGCUUCGGGUAAUAUGUUUUUGGGGAAGUGCUACGCGCGGUACUCGGAGCGUGGGGUCUCGUCCAAGAGCGGUAAGGGGUUGCUCCACCACCAUCACCACGGCGGAUGUUGGUGGCUUGUGGGUCUAAUGAUGAGAUUGAGAAAACACUUGCAAUACUCAUUGGACUCAUAGCUGGUGUUGCAGUGCUCAUUGUUUUUCUAUCAAUCUUCAGCAAACUACUAGAAAGUGGUAAAUAAGUUACAUCUUGAGGAUAUAUGCCACAAAGAUGUUCUCUUUUCUCUUUCCUACCUCCUCUGGUACAAAUUGCUUUUCUUUCUUUGUUCUUUAACUUGCUUUUUUCUUUCAUGGUCCCUACCCUUUCUCUCUUCAUUGUCUUUGUGAAGGCUCCUUCAUAUUUCCUCUAAAGAAAAAUCCUAAAAGGGAAGAUAGAGAUAUGAGUAUUCAAGCAGUUUCCUUCCUUGAAACAAGUGAAAAGAAAGUUGAAUAAAUAAGUGAUGAAGAAGCCUCAAGAUUCCACAAUCUUCACAUCCACUUAAUAAAGUAAGCUCUCAUAUGCUUAUUAUUAUUUGAAUAAUUGUCAAUGCUUUUGUAGAAGUGCUCUUGUAUAUAGCUGCAUUGAUAUAGAUGUCACUGUUGAUUACUUUUUUGCAAGUGCAAAAAACCUAUAUUACAUUUUAAUUUGUAAAACAUAAUUGUUCUUGUUUUUCAUUUUAAUUUAUGUUACUUCUCAAAUA